rnacentral:rRNA from 1 species
AUUGAACGCUGGCGGCAGGCCUAACACAUGCAAGUCGAGCGGCAGCGGAAAGUAGCUUGCUACUUUGCCGGCGAGCGGCGGACGGGUGAGUAAUGUCUGGGAAACUGCCUGAUGGAGGGGGAUAACUACUGGAAACGGUAGCUAAUACCGCAUGACCUCGAAAGAGCAGAGUGGGGGAUCUUCGGACCUCACGCCAUCGGAUGUGCCCAGAUGGGAUUAGCUAGUAGGUGAGGUAAUGGCUCACCUAGGCGACGAUCCCUAGCUGGUCUGAGAGGAUGACCAGCCACACUGGAACUGAGACACGGUCCAGACUCCUACGGGAGGCAGCAGUGGGGAAUAUUGCACAAUGGGCGCAAGCCUGAUGCAGCCAUGCCGCGUGUGUGAAGAAGGCCUUAGGGUUGUAAAGCACUUUCAGCGAGGAGGAAGGCACCAUACUUAAUACGUGUGGUGAUUGACGUUACUCGCAGAAGAAGCACCGGCUAACUCCGUGCCAGCAGCCGCGGUAAUACGGAGGGUGCAAGCGUUAAUCGGAAUUACUGGGCGUAAAGCGCACGCAGGCGGUUUGUUAAGUCAGAUGUGAAAUCCCCGCGCUUAACGUGGGAACUGCAUUUGAAACUGGCAAGCUAGAGUCUUGUAGAGGGGGGUAGAAUUCCAGGUGUAGCGGUGAAAUGCGUAGAGAUCUGGAGGAAUACCGGUGGCGAAGGCGGCCCCCUGGACAAAGACUGACGCUCAGGUGCGAAAGCGUGGGGAGCAAACAGG